AAAUAGAAUGCAAAAGUAACUGCGAUAAUGCAUCUUUAAAGUUAUUUAUCGUUACCAAGUAAGUUAAUCCAUGUUCUCUAAUAUUCAAAAGGUUAUUUUGCUAAAAAUUAAUUUGAGUUUUAUUUUUUAUGCUGGCAUGUGUUUCUGCAUUCUCGAGAUAUACACGCGUGAAGACCACGCACUUUAAAUUACUCUUGGUCUUGGAGGCGGGAAAAUUUAAAGAGUCGUUUUUGAAAUUUGACAAGUCUUUGUUUUGUCUCGCAAACACAGUUAAAAUAAAAGAGAAUGGCAGAAGGAAAGAAAAACGAACGUGUAAUGGAAGUUGAUGAUGCUACAGAC